UAUUAAUGGUGAUGAUGACAAUGAUGACAUGAUGGUACUUCUUGAAACGAAGGAAAAACAGAGAGCUAUCACUCAUCAAUUUCAUUAAAAAAG